UACGUAGGUGGCAAGCGUUGUCCGGAUUUACUGGGUGUAAAGGGCGUGCAGCCGGGCUGACAAGUCAGAUGUGAAAUCCCGCGGCUUAACCGCGGAACUGCAUUUGAAACUGUUGGUCUUGAGUAUCGGAGAGGCAGGCGGAAUUCCUAGUGUAGCGGUGAAAUGCGUAGAUAUUAGGAGGAACACCAGUGGCGAAGGCGGCCUGCUGGACGACAACUGACGGUGAGGCGCGAAAGCGUG
rnacentral:rRNA from 1 species